GUUGAAAUACAGGUUCCCUUACAAUCACCAAAGUUAAGCAAUGUCGAGCAUGGUCAGUAUCUAGAUGGAUGACUGCUUGGGAAUACCAGGUGCUGUAAG